rnacentral:rRNA from 1 species
GAUCUUUAUUUUUAUUAUUUAUAAAUUAAAAAGAAUUAUAUAAUUUAUAUUUUUAUUAAAAAUUUUAUUGGGGUGAUAUUAAAAUUUAAGAAACUUUUAAAAUUAAUUAACAUAAAUAUAUGAAUAAUUGAUCCAAUUUUAUUGAUUAAAAAUUUAAGUUACCUUAGGGAUAACAGCGUAAUUUUUUUUUAGAGUUCAUAUCGACAGAAAAGAUUGC